rnacentral:rRNA from 1 species
CACGGGGGGAGCAAGCGUUGUUCGGAAUCACUGGGCGUAAAGAGCUCGUAGGCGGUUUGUCACGUCUGCUGUGAAAUCCCGAGGCUCAACCUCGGGCCUGCAGUGGGUACGGGCAGACUGGAGUGCGGUAGGGGAGAAUGGAAUUCCUGGUGUAGCGGUGGAAUGCGCAGAUAUCAGGAGGAACACCGAUGGCGAAGGCAGUUCUCUGGGCCGUAACUGACGCUGAGGAGCGAAAGCGUGGGGAGCGAACAGG